GUCCACGCCGUAAACGAUGUUCACUCGCUGUUUGCGAUACACAGCAAGCGGCCAAGCGAAAGCAUUAAGUGAACCACCUGGGAGUACGAUCGCAAGGUUGAAACUCAAAGGAAUUGACGGGGCCCGCACAAGCGGAGGAACAUGUGGUUUAAUUCGAUGAUACGCGAGGAACCUUACCUGGGCUUAAAUGUAGAGCGACAGAUUGUGAAAGCAGUACUUCUUCGGACGAUCUACAAGGUGCUGCAUGGUUGUCGU
rnacentral:rRNA from 1 species